rnacentral:lncRNA from 1 species
AACACUAUGCUUUCUUAGGCAGGUACUAUUAUUAUCUGCUUUUUUUUUAACAGAUGAAGGAACCGAGCCACACAGAGGUUAAAUAACUUGCCCAAGGGUGCACAACUACUAGUAGUAUUGAGUCUAUACGCUUAAGUAUUGUGCUAUUCCAUUUCUUACUGAAUACAAAGCAAAAAAACAUAAGGAUCAGAGGAGGAGUGUGAGUGUCCUCAUACUCACAGCAAAAGGAGGGAAUUCAGGAGAGGAUUGAAGAAGCGGUUCCUGUUUUUGAGGCAUUUGCAAUCAUUGCUGGAGAGACAGAACCAACAGAUGGGGAACAAUGGCCAGGGACUCCAGGCCUGGUUUAAGCAAAUGCCGCCCUGUGGUCUUUACCCAUGAAUGGUGUGGAAAAUGAGAGCAGGGAAGAGGAUUUACUCACUGGCUGUGGAGUUAGGUCAGAAGGGGGAUGGAAAGAAGGAACCGGAUGGCUUUGGGGACAUUUCUUAAUCUUUAGGCUUCACCUUCCUUAACUGAAAAUAAAGCCAUAAGUUACCUCC